GCAACAAGUUCCUGUCGGGUUUGGGUUGUUUUGGAUUAUCGACUGAAAUUACGGCAAUUCAGAAGGAGACGUGCUCUAGUUUUGUCAAGCAAGCGAAGCUUCAAUCGUUUCUUAUUUUCUCUAAAGCGGUGGAGAAGAAGUGCAGUGGGAAUGCUAAUGUGAAGUAUGCUUGGUUUGGAGGUUCGAAAGAUGAGAUUAGCAACAUAUUUUCACAUGGAUUUUCUUGUCGAUCAAACAAUGGAGCUUAUUCUCAAGCCAUAUGCCUUUCUCCGGAUGAUAAUUCACACGAUUGCCUGCAAG
rnacentral:misc_RNA from 1 species